rnacentral:rRNA from 1 species
UUGACUGUUUUAGCAAAGACAUUGCUUGUUGAGGAGAAUAAUAAGUAAUUUCUGCCCACUACCUAUUGGUGCGAAGGGCUGCAGUAUUCUGACUGUAUUAAGGUAGCAUAAUCAUUAGCUUUUUAAUUGAAAGCUGGUAUGAAGAGAGAACGGGGAGAUUGUAUAUUUUUUUGGUAAAUUGAAUUUUAUUUCCGUGUGAAAAAUCAUGGGAGUACCUGAGGGACAAGAAGACCCUAUUAAAUUUUAUUUUUGAUUAGCAAAAAGUAUAAAGGAAAAUAGUUAAUUAGUAUGAUUUGUUGUCAGGGGUUUGGCUGGGGCAGAAAAUAUAAUAACUAUAUUCGAUAUAUAAUUUUUAUAAAGCGUUUAGAUGACCUGAUUUGGUCAGAUGAAAGAAUAAUUACUUUAGGGAUAACAGCGUUAUUAUUUUUGAAAGUUCUUAUUGAUGAAAUAGUUUGCGACCUCGAUGCCGGUCUAGCGAUAAAACAUUGGACACAGUAUUUGAUGCAACGGGCGUCU